GAGUCUGUAGAGGGGGUAGNNCANNNANNGUGAAUGCUAGAGAUCUGAGGAUNNGUGGCGNGCGCCCCUUGACGAAGACUGACGUCAGGUGCGAAAGCGNGGGAGCAACAGGAUUAGAUACCUGGUAGNCACNCGUAAACGAUGUCGACUUGGAGGUUGUGCCCUUGAGGCGUGGCUUCCGGAGCUAACGCGUUAAGUCGACCGCCUGGGGAGUACGGCCGCAAGGUUAAAACUCAAAUGAAUUGACGGGGGCCCGCACAAGCGGUGGAGCAUGUGGUUUAAUUCGAUGCAACGCGAAGAACCUUACCUGGUCUUGACAUCCACAGAACUUUCCAGAGAUGGAUUGGUGCCUUCGGGAACUGUGAGACAGGUGCUGCAUGGCUGUCGUCAGCUCGUGUUGUGAAAUGUUGGGUUAAGUCCCGCAACGAGCGCAACCCUUAUCUUUUGUUGCCAGCGGUCCGGCCGGGAACUCAAAGGAGACUGCCAGUGAUAAACUGGAGGAAGGUGGGGAUGACGUCAAGUCAUCAUGGCCCUUACGACCAGGGCUACACACGUGCUACAAUGGCGCAUACAAAGAGAAGCGACCUCGCGAGAGCAAGCGGACCUCAUAAAGUGCGUCGUAGUCCGGAUUGGAGUCUGCAACUCGACUCCAUGAAGUCGGAAUCGCUAGUAAUCGUGGAUCAGAAUGCCACGGUGAAUACGUUCCCGGGCCUUGUACACACCGCCCGUCACACCAUGGGAGUGGGUUGCAAAAGAAGUAGGUAGCUUAACCUUCGGGAGGGCGCUUACCACUUUGUGAUUCAUGACUGGGGUGAAGUCGUAACAAGGUAACCGUAGGGGAACCUGCGGCUGGAUCACCUCCUU
rnacentral:rRNA from 1 species